rnacentral:rRNA from 1 species
UACGAAGGGGGCUAGCGUUGUUCGGAAUCACUGGGCGUAAAGCGCACGUAGGCGGAUCUUUAAGUCAGAGGUGAAAGCCUGGAGCUCAACUCCAGAACUGCCUUUGAUACUGGGGAUCUCGAGUCCGGGAGAGGUGAGUGGAACUGCGAGUGUAGAGGUGAAAUUCGUAGAUAUUCGCAAGAACACCAGUGGCGAAGGCGGCUCACUGGCCCGAUACUGACGCUGAGGCACGAAAGCGUGGGGAGCAAACAGG